AUUUCGUUUUUUAAUAUUAAAAUAUGGAAUAUUUCGUUUUUUAAUUUUUAUAAAAAGUUAAGAUAGAUAUUAAAAUAUCUUACGAAUAUUUGUAUCAAGAAAUUUUCCAAUUUUAAAAAAUAAAUUUUUAGAGAUAAUUAUGACAGUGUGCCCUAGAUUUUAAGCUAUAAAUAUAGAGCCGCAGCCACACCAUUAGAACUCAGAUUCGUUAGCCUAAACAUAUCGUUUUGAUAUUAUAGCUUUUUUUUUUGUUGCUUUGGUUCUUUUAUGGAUCGAUUUUUUUAUUUUGCGUUAUUAUUUUUUACUUUUUCUUGAGGUUAUAUUUGUAUUGUUAUUAUCUUGGUCUAUGAAUUAUUAAGAUUGUUAUUGUUUUGCUGAUUUGUAUCGUGUGAAUUAUGUUUUAGGUAACCGCUCAUGGGAGUUUCUAUCAAGAGAUUGAAUGAACGAGUUGAUGAAGACAUGCCUCUUCAUUAAAUUCAUUAACAAACUUUUUACAUCAAUCGCGGAGCAUUGCGCUGAUGCGGAAGUGAUUUACAAGUUUUUGGAGGUCAAUGAGAUUGAUAAGG